AGGCUGUCUCAGUGUUUGGACACUGAAAAUAGCGUAUCUUCAAUACAAACAACAACACAGAGCAGUUGAUGGCCCACUACACCAGAAGUAUCGAUAUACAGCUUAUCGACAGUUUGUACGUUGGUGCUGGGGUGUACUCGGCCCA